rnacentral:rRNA from 1 species
UACGUAGGGUGCGAGCGUUAAUCGGAAUUACUGGGCGUAAAGCGUGCGUAGACGGUUACGUAAGUCGGGUGUGAAAGCCCCGGGCUCAACCUGGGAAUGGCCGUUGAAACUGGCGAACUGGAGUGUGGCAGAGGGGGGUGGAAUUCCGCGUGUAGCAGUGAAAUGCGUAGAGAUGCGGAGGAACACCGAUGGCGAAGGCAGCCCCCUGGGCUAACACUGACGCUCAGGCACGAAAGCGUGGGGAGCAAACAGG